ACAGGCGCCGUGCGGUUUACCAGAUAUUUUUAUUGGAAUUUGACGAAGAAAAUCAAACUAAAGUAAUAUCAAACUGAAAUUAUCGACAAAGCAAAACAACCUGCUCACAACGAAAAAACUUACAAGCAACAUAUCACUUAGAAAUGUCUUACUUUCUACGACAGCACUUAAAUGCAGGUUCUAUAAAUAAUUUAUUGGGAAUGAUUAUAUUACAAUGCAUUUUACAGGUGUCGAUAUUUUGCUUUUAGAAAUUGAAUAGUCUCGACAUGAAUCAUAAUUGCAAAAACUUUUGAAUUGAACAGAGUAUGAAAUAAAAGCACAAAAGCUGCUUAUUAAUAAAGUAACUAUAUCUUUUCGCCAAAUGAUAUUAUCUCAUAACAAGUACUGUAUUCAUCGCGCGUGUUGUAAUCGAACACCAUUAAGCAGACGGAAGAAACGAAGAAACUAACUUUGUGGAAUGUGGGAUAGUUUUAAUCUUCUUACGACAUGCGCUUUCAUUCUUGACAGUCAUGUUAUGACACUGAGCAGUGAACAUUUGCUGUAUAUUCGUCAAGUGCUCUCAUCGACGACACAUUGACGGUAUCGACGCAUUAUUAUAAUAUAAAAAGCAUAUAAAUACGGUUCUAAAACGUGUGAGUACAAAGAGAAAUUAAAGACAGUCGUGGUUUCAUAUAUUGUUGGUAAUCUCAAACCGUCGGCAAAAAUUUCCUCAAAUAUUGAGUUUGAAAUAUAACUUCGCUCAUGGCUUCGUUAUCUGUGAGAAUAUUCUGUUACUAUACAAUCUUUGUUCUACUGUCUUUCAUGGGAAAUCAUCGCGUUAGGUCAUCUCGAUUUCUUCCUACUAUUGUAUGGGAUCAUUUAAAUCCAAUGUUACACUGUAAAUGCAACUGGUUGGUAAUACCUAAUGUUGACCUCUACGAUAAACAAAUAUUCACUUGUCCCACUGAUAAAGUCACCACAAAUUUGGUGGAUGGUUCUGAAAGAACGGGAGACACUCGUAACGAGAACAUCUAUAGAAGAAAAUGGAACGGCAGUAGAAAUGACUUCAUAAAUCGAGUACGAAAUGGAACAAUUGAUUCCUUCUGUGAUCCAAAAAGCUCAGAAACAGUCAGGUUACACCAAUGCAAGGAUGGAAAGUACGAUUCCUUUGAUGUGACGUAUAAAUACAACAAAGAUAUCAAUAAGAAAUAUGACCAACACAGGAUUUACAUAUUUUUAACAAUGGUGAUGGUACAGUUUCUAGUUUAUCAAGCAAGAAAGCAAAAUGUUCCAUAUUGUUUGCUGUUUACGUUACAAGAGAUAGAAAGUCAGUUUAUGGAAUGAACUUUGGGAAAAAAGGUCUUACGUUGGACAAGGAUUGUGAUAUUUCUUCUUGUCCAGUUGUUUCAACCGAGAAACCAACGCUUUCUUUGCCGACCUUUCCUAAGUCUUCAUCAUCAUCAAAAAUAACCUUGGCAACAAAGCCAUCUGGUGUUAUAAGCGGACCAAAAAAGGGAAAGAUCACUCCAGAAAGUACGAAGAUCAUACCAUCAUCUUGGCCGUCAGGGAAAAUCGUUGAGAAAAUGGGUUCAACAAAACCAGCCAAUGACAUAACAGGGUCGUCAACCGAAGCAUGGUUAACUACAACUGUUUUUAUAUCGGCAAUUGCAUCUGCUUUUGUUUUCGGAAUCAUUGUUGUUGCGAUCAUCUUAGCUUGCAAAAAAGCUUUACAAAAAAAGGACCGUUUUCAUUUUGUGUAGACCAUAUUGAUGAGGAUGAUGAUAUCUGUGGUUCUCAACACAGUUGCUCGUUACGACAAAUGGAAAAUAACAAAAAUCACUGUAGCGGUGGAAGUCCAUUCAGUCAAAGACUUUAACCUGAUCAGAUAUGAUUGAUCUGAUACUUAACGAUUAUCAACAGUAAAUUGGUGAAAUUCAUCUUCUAACUCUGAUUUUGAUCAAAAUUGAACGUCGUUGUUUUGCCACAUUCUUUAGAGUUUAUAUAUUAUAAAUUAUUUCAAUUAAUAUUUAUGCUAAAUGUUUCUAUUAAAGAUUAACAUUGUAAAUAAUUAAAAAAUGAAGCAAAAACUAUGAUUUCUAUUCAAUAAAACAAGAAAAAAGUGA